GUUACAAGGGGGACGGGUGAGUAACACGUGGGUAACCUGCCUGUAAGACUGGGAUAACUCCGGGAAACCGGGGCUAAUACCGGAUGCUUGUUUGAACCGCAUGGUUCAAACAUAAAAGGUGGCUUCGGCUACCACUUACAGAUGGACCCGCGGCGCAUUAGCUAGUUGGUGAGGUAAUGGCUCACCAAGGCAACGAUGCGUAGCCGACCUGAGAGGGUGAUCGGCCACACUGGGACUGAGACACGGCCCAGACUCCUACGGGAGGCAGCAGUAGGGAAUCUUCCGCAAUGGACGAAAGUCUGACGGAGCAACGCCGCGUGAGUGAUGAAGGUUUUCGGAUCGUAAAGCUCUGUUGUUAGGGAAGAACAAGUACCGUUCGAAUAGGGCGGUACCUUGACGGUACCUAACCAGAAAGCCACGGCUAACUACGUGCCAGCAGCCGCGGUAAUACGUAGGUGGCAAGCGUUGUCCGGAAUUAUUGGGCGUAAAGGGCUCGCAGGCGGUUCCUUAAGUCUGAUGUGAAAGCCCCCGGCUCAACCGGGGAGGGUCAUUGGAAACUGGGGAACUUGAGUGCAGAAGAGGAGAGUGGAAUUCCACGUGUAGCGGUGAAAUGCGUAGAGAUGUGGAGGAACACCAGUGGCGAAGGCGACUCUCUGGUCUGUAACUGACGCUGAGGAGCGAAAGCGUGGGGAGCGAACAGGAUUAGAUACCCUGGUAGUCCACGCCGUAAACGAUGAGUGCUAAGUGUUAGGGGUUUCCGCCCCUUAGUGCUGCAGCUAACGCAUUAAGCACUCCGCCUGGGAGUACGGUCGCAAGACUGAAACUCAAAGGAAUUGACGGGGGCCCGCACAAGCGGUGGAGCAUGUGGUUUAAUUCGAAGCAACGCGAAGAACCUUACCAGGUCUUGACAUCCUCUGACAUCCUAGAGAUAGGACGUCCCCUUCGGGGCAGAGUGAACAGGUGUGCAUGGUUGUCGUCAGCUCGUGUCUU
rnacentral:rRNA from 1 species